rnacentral:tRNA from 2 species
GCGCGGUUAGCUCAGUGGUAGAGCACUGCCUUCACACGGCAGGGGUCACUGGUUCGAAACCAGUAUCGCGCACCA